UUGCCCAGCAGCAUGCUUAGCAUUAAGAGAAGUGACAGAUUUGAUUUGGGUACACUCGUCUUCCCAACAUGCAGGGCAGACAUGACUAAUCUCAGCCUGCCAUCUGGUUAAAGACACAGCCGCUGCUGCCACCUGCCUUUUCCGUGACUCCUCGCCGCUUCUCUCGCCGCAGGGACGUAGCUGCAGGGGUCAGAGGUCAGCCUAGGGACCUGUGGAGAAAAGCUGGUCCUGCUGCUGUGAGGUCACACCUCCCCUGUGGCACGCUGAGAGACAUGAAAACCUGGAUGGUGCCGAGCCUCAGGGAAUCAGCAGUGAAAUGUUGGAGCUUGUAGGUAUUAAAGAAUGAGGACACAACUUGGAUCACAUAAUGGUUGUCUCAUGGAGGGCAUUUGUGUAAGCUGAGCCAGACUGUGCCUAUUUACAUCCACCGUCUCCAUCCGUGAAAGAGAGGGUCACUCCAUCUGUCACGGUUUAUCAACUGACAAAUUCCCACCGGUGCUAAUGAGUUUGGAGCUGCUGUAGGUCAAAGAGGAGACUGGCUGGGCGAGCGUUAAGCUGGUCAGGUGCUGCGCCACCAGUGAUCAUUAGGGUUACAGCUGCUUGGGCCAGAUUGUCUGCUGCCUAUGCCGGGCGAGAUGUCUCACCCAGGGAAAAAGAGCGAGCAUCUGUCUGUCCUUCCCCAUAGACACGAACCUCCUACCAGCCUGUCCAACUCAACCCGACCGGUAACAAGGUCACCUAGCUCUCUCGCUCUCCCCAACUCACUUUUUCUCUCACUCUCUCUCACUCUGUGCAGACGUUGUUAACUCUUUC